GCAAACUGAAAUAAAAGCUCUUGGGUAGAGAUGGAUGAUAACCCAACAAGCAUUUGAAUUCUCCUUGCGUGAUCUGGAGCGGUUGCUUGGGGAUUUUCCUGAAACCCGACUCUUGCAGAACUUCCUAAGAUAACAAGAAGUACAGCCUCAGUUAGACUCCGCAAUGCAUUCUAGAAGAGAACUCAUCUGGAUUCCCUUCACCAGGUAGCAAGUGUAGCUCUCAGCCAAAAACACUGCUUUUGACUGCCAAGGACCCACACAUUAUCCAGAAUAUUCAGUCCGUCAACUCUCCACUAUUAAUCUUAAAUUGGUAAGAGCAGCUUCAUCUGUAUGAAUUGUCGUGAAC
rnacentral:lncRNA from 1 species